GAAAAGCCAGCGGAGGGAGCAGAGACAAAGCAUGAUGGAGGAAGGGAAGUGUGCUCGGCAGCAUGUGGACCAUGUGUUCAGCAUGUAACUGCGGAGUGUCGCGCCACGGAAAGGUGUCUGCAACCCCGGGCUCCCUCCUGCACGACUCUUGGCGUUUGCAACAGCAAUGGGCGGAGGAAGAAAACUCGAGUCCGGAGACAGACAACCACAAGAAGCUGAAAUUGCCAAGGUGAAGAUGAUUGACAAGGUGAAGAUGAUUGACAGGUGAAGAUGAUUGACAAGGUGGAGAUGAUUG